rnacentral:rRNA from 1 species
AGAGUUUGAUCCUGGCUCAGAUUGAACGCUGGCGGCAUGCUUUACACAUGCAAGUCGAACGGCAGCACGAGCUUCGGCCUGGUGGCGAGUGGCGAACGGGUGAGUAAUGCGUCGGAACGCGCCGAGUAGUGGGGGAUAACGCAGCGAAAGCUGUGCUAAUACCGCAUACGUACUGAGGUAGAAAGUGGGGGACCUUCGGGCCUCACGCUAUUCGAGCGGCCGACGUCUGAUUAGCUAGUUGGUGGGGUAAAGGCUCACCAAGGCGACGAUCAGUAGCGGGUCUGAGAGGAUGAUCCGCCACACUGGGACUGAGACACGGCCCAGACUCCUACGGGAGGCAGCAGUGGGGAAUUUUGGACAAUGGGCGCAAGCCUGAUCCAGCCAUGCCGCGUGUCUGAAGAAGGCCUUCGGGUUGUAAAGGACUUUUGUCCGGGAGCAAAGCCUACUUGUU